rnacentral:sRNA from 1 species
GCCGGGCGCGGUGGCGCACGCCUGUAAUCCCAGAGGCUCGGGAGGCUGAGGCAGGAGGAUGGAAAGUUCAAAGCCAGCCUCAG